AGGGUGUAAACGCUGCAGACUUGGUGUUGGAGGCCCUUUGGGGGGCAUUCAGUGCCGGAGAGAAGUUGUUAAGUCUGCUACUUGGGGAGUACGUCCGCAAGGAUGAAACUUAAAGGAAUUGGCGGGGAGCACCGCAACGGGAGGAGCGUGCGGUUUAAUUGGAUUCAACACCGGAAAACUCACCGGGGGCGACAGCAAUAUGUAGGUCAAGCUAAAGACUUUACCAGAAUCGCUGAGAGGUGGUGCAUGGCGUAGUCGUGU
rnacentral:rRNA from 1 species